GGUAUACAUUUCAUGUAACGUCAGGGGACCACUUUUGGUACAAUUUUGACACAUUUUCUCUUAUACAAUUAAUACUCACAUACGUACAUCAAAUCAAUAAUGAUAUUUUACAAAGACUAUCUUUAGUACUUCCAACUGCACACUUAAAAAAUAAAUCGUACACUGAAGUUAUUUAUAGACCGGCUUCUCUCGUGUUACGUAACUUCCGGUCCGGAGCAUGCUGCGAGGACCCCAUUUGGUACAAAGUGGCGAGACAUCGAUUUUUCAGUUAUUUCCAAAAAUACGAUCAAGAAUGGGACUGAUUUCGUUGGGCACAUCUGGCAACACCAGGACGAGUCCGACAACUUCCUCAUUUCAUAUGCCCGAUAAAUUCUAGAAGGUAAACAACUAGCAUGGUAGGAUUUGUUGCAGUAAUAACAUGAUGCCCAGUAUACCUCUUCCUCAAUAGGUGAAACAAAUUGGUGGACCAUGCAGACUUGACAAAUAAGCAUCCCUUGCCCCUCUGGAAUUUCACUGUCCUGAUGAAGAGUUGAAAAUGGCUCAACAUCAACAUCCAGCUCACCAUGACAUGGCUGAACAUGAUCCUUGCCAAGAGCUGAAGAUGGUACAGCAUCAAUGAUUAUAUCUGAAGGAGAGCAGUGAUGACAAAGCCAGUUUGAAGAAACAAUUAAGCUUAAAUCAACAUCAGUUUGUUCUUGGUAAUUUAGACAGUCCCUGUGGAACCAUCGGUCACAACCAUCGCAACCAACCCAAAGGAUUCCUACUUCUUCAUCAUUGCAAUGACCUCUGAUAUUGCAUACUUGACAGAGGAUCCAAUGAUUGGGACAAAAAUGUCUGCCAAUUCUUGUGGGAUCAGGCCUCCAGUUACUAAGGGAUGUCCUCGUACAAACUGACCGCAUGUGUGGCAAAGAGGAUCAUGAUUACAGGGAUUGUCUCCCCCUGGUCCUGGAAUGGGCAAGGUGUAAUCCGCUUCUGAGGCUGUGAGUCGUGUUUUGUCAAUGGCAUUUGCAUCCAAGGGGACGAUCCCACAUUUCCUGAAUGCAGUUUUGAUAUUAUGUGGGCUGAAUACCCUAUCAACUGCUGAAUGCAGGACCUGUGAAAACCUGGAAAUUGGGCAUUUCACACAGAUUUUUGAAGGUUACCUCCCCUUUCCAAUCAUCAAAUGAGGAUUUGCAUAUCCCAAACUGACUGACAAAUCAGAAAACUGUUUUUUGAGUGGCCGGAAUAAGGCCACAUCCAGGGGCUGCAAUAUGUGUGUUGUGUGUGGAGGCAGGCACAACAACUCGACCCUAUUUUCUCUGGCCUUCUCAAUGAUGUUGAGUGAAAGAUGACUCUCGUAGUUAUCCAUGAUCAGUAGUAAGGGUCUCUGCUUGGAUGCGUGUUUUAGGAAUACCUUGUCAAACCACUUCUCAAACAAAUCAGCAUCCAUGUACCCAUUUGUGGAAGUUCCGAAAAGCCAUUCUUGAGGUAUUCCUGUGAAUAAACAAAAAUGUCCCACCAGGAAACGACUUUUCGAAGAUUAUGAAGGAAGGAAGAACUCUCCCAUCAGCGGACACACAAAUUGUAGCUGUUGUAUGGCAAUAUAUGGAAAAGGAGGAGAGAAGUCUUACCAAGUUUAUGUACAGUCUCCUUCAAUAAUGUGAAGUACUGUGCCAUAACAUUGGGGUUGGCCAUCCUUGCCCGUCCACCAUCAAUGGUCUGAGGCUUCCUCAUGUGUAGGCUAGGAUUUCUGCGGAAAAAUUUCCUCAUCCAUUUAUUUGAUGGACCAGUUGGCCCAAUUACACUUUUCCUUCCUGACUUUUUUAUUAUUUGAGAUAUGAACAUUUUAAUCAUUUUUCGAGAAAGUGGUAAGGACCUCUCUUCGCAAUAUUUAAUGUAUAUUACAAGAUGCUUCUCUUCCUCAGGGGUUAGAACAACGUGAGGUUGUCCCCCUUUGUUCAGAUUUCUGGCAUAUCUCCGCAAAGUCAUGUGAGGUACAUCAUGUUUCGCUGCUGCUCUUCUGAUCGGUGUUCCUUUUUUGAUAUCUGCCAAGGCAUGAGCAAAGUCGCUUUGGUUGUAUUUUUUAUAUUUUGCUGCAAUUAAUAAAUGUGUUAUUUAUUUAUUAAAAAAUAUCUGUUGGA